CUGCUUAGCUAGUGCUUGUCUGUGUUUGUGCGCCGGGAGUAUCUUUGCUCUUUUUUCACACUCUCAGCAGUAAUGGGAAGCCCCACCCUCUUUUGUGAUGCACUCGCCCGCAGUCUGGAACCUUUGACACACACCGGGCACAGCUUUAUAACAGUGUGUCGGUGACUUGUGGAUUGCCGCACCCACCAAAGAACAAUGUGAGACUGAUACAAUUGCUUUGUUAAAACACCUUGCAUCUGAAGGUCACAAGGCAUCAUUGUCCAAAUUGCAUUUUGUAUCACAAACAUCCUCACUGCUCCUGGAAAAAUACUUUCUCCGGCCCGAGGGCAGGCUAUUGUCGACAUGCCCAAACCACUCACUAAGAAACAGGUCACUCACUUCCUCAUCACAUGUCAAAUGGACGCCUGAUGCCGCUUUCGAACAUCUUAAGUGUGCCCUGCAGUCUGCUUUUGCAGCCAACUUCUGCAAAUCCUGCCUCACGUGCUCGUCCCAACCCUGGCAGAACACGCCCAAUCACUCAACAGGCAGCACAUCCACCGCCUACACGGCCAUUCUAACAUGUAAUGAUGGACUUUAUAGAAUUGACACCUUGUGAGGGCAAGAAAAAGUUAUGGUAGAAAUGGAUUGAAGUAUUUCCGGCCAAACAUGCAUCUGCAACUAUGGAGGCAAAAACAUUAUUCCCAGAUGGGGAAUCCCCGAGAAACUUUCUUCUGACAACGGCAUACAUGUUGUAAAUGAAGUGAUGACACAGCUUUCUGACAGGUUACAAUUUGACCUUAAAACGCAUUGUAGUUACCAUCCCUAAUGUGGCAGUACAGUAGAGAAAGAAAAUGGGAUUCUGAAAGCUAAAUUGAAUAAAUGUUGUGAAGACACAAUUGAA